UUGCACCUGGUGGCGAGUGGCGAACGGGUGAGUAAUACAUCGGAACGUACCUUAUCGUGGGGGAUAACGCAGCGAAAGCUGUGCUAAUACCGCAUACGCCCUGAGGGGGAAAGCGGGGGAUCGAAAGACCUCGCGCGAUUAGAGCGGCCGAUGCCUGAUUAGCUUGUUGGUGGGGUAAAAGCCCACCAAGGCGACGAUCAGUAGCUGGUCUGAGAGGACGAUCAGCCACACUGGGACUGAGACACGGCCCAGACUCCUACGGGAGGCAGCAGUGGGGAAUUUUGGACAAUGGGGGAAACCCUGAUCCAGCAAUGCCGCGUGAAUGAAGAAGGCCUUCGGGUUGUAAAGCUCUUUUGUCAGGGAAGAAACACCGGCUCUAACACAGUCCGGGAAUGACGGUACCUGAAGAAUAAGCACCGGCUAACUACGUGCCAGCAGCCGCGGUAAUACGUAGGGUGCGAGCGUUAAUCGGAAUUACUGGGCGUAAAGCGUGCGCAGGCGGUUAUACAAGACAGGCGUGAAAUCCCCGGGCUUAACCUGGGAAUGGCGCCUGUGACUGUAUAGCUAGAGUGUGUCAGAGGGGGGUAGAAUUCCACGUGUAGCAGUGAAAUGCGUAGAUAUGUGGAGGAAUACCAAUGGCGAAGGCAGCCCCCUGGGAUAACACUGACGCUCAUGCACGAAAGCGUGGGGAGCAAACAGG
rnacentral:rRNA from 1 species